UACGUAGGUGGCAAGCGUUGUUCGGAAUUACUGGGCGUAAAGCGCACGUAGGCGGAUACUUAAGUCAGGGGUGAAAUCCCGAGGCUCAACCUCGGAACUGCCUUUGAUACUGGGUAUCUCGAGUCCGGAAGAGGUGAGUGGAAUUCCGAGUGCAGAGGUGAAAUUCGUAGAUAUUCGGAGGAACACCAGUGGCGAAGGCGGCUCACUGGUCCGGUACUGACGCUCAUGUGCGAAAGCGUGGGGAGCAAACAGG
rnacentral:rRNA from 1 species